rnacentral:piRNA from 1 species
UGGUUGAGCAGCCAUGGGCUUACAUCCUUC